ACGGGGCCGCACAAGCGGUGGAGUAUGUGGUUUAAUUCGACGCAACGCGCAGAACCUUACCUAGACUUGACAUCCCGGGGAUUUUCUGGAAACAGAGAAGUGCUUUAGCAAUAAAGAACCCGGUGACAGGUGCUGCAUGGCUGUCGUCAGCUCGUGUCGUGAGAUGUUGGGUUAAGUCCCGCAACGAGCGCAACCCUCGCCUUUAGUUGCCAGCAUUCAGUUGGGCACUCUAGAGGGACUGCCGGUGUCAAACCGGAGGAAGGUGGGAUGACGUCAAGUCCUCAUGGCCUUUAUGUCUAGGGCUACACACGUACUACAAUGGCCGGUACAAAGGGCAGCCACUCAGCGAUGAGGCGCUAAUCCCAUAAAGCCGGUCUCAGUCCGGAUCGCAGUCUGCAACUCGACUGCGUGAAGUUGGAAUCGCUAGUAAUCGUAGAUCAGCAUGCUACGGUGAAUACGUUCCCGGGCCUU
rnacentral:rRNA from 1 species